rnacentral:rRNA from 1 species
UGAGGAAUAUUGGUCAAUGGGUGCAAGCCUGAACCAGCCAUCCCGCGUGAAGGACGACUGCCCUAUGGGUUGUAAACUUCUUUUGUAUAGGGAUAAACCUACCCUCGUGAGGGUAGCUGAAGGUACUAUACGAAUAAGCACCGGCUAACUCCGUGCCAGCAGCCGCGGUAAUACGGAGGGUGCAAGCGUUAUCCGGAUUUAUUGGGUUUAAAGGGUCCGUAGGCGGACUUAUAAGUCAGUGGUGAAAGCCUGUCGCUUAACGAUAGAACUGCCAUUGAUACUGUAAGUCUUGAGUAUAUUUGAGNUAGCUGGAAUAAGUAGUGUAGCGGUGAAAUGCAUAGAUAUUACUUAGAACACCAAUUGCGAAGGCAGGUUACCAAGAUAUAACUGACGCUGAGGGACGAAAGCGUGGGGAGCGAACA